rnacentral:rRNA from 1 species
UACGAAGGAUCCAAGCGUUGUCCGGAUUUACUGGGUUUAAAGGGUGCGUAGGCGGACUUUUAAGUCAGUGGCGAAAGCCUGUAGCUUAACUAUAGAAUUGCCAUUGAAACUGAAAGUCUCGAGUGUGGUUGAGGUAACUGGAAUAUAUCAUGUAGCGGUGAAAUGCUUAGAUAUGAUAUAGAACACCAAUUGCGAAGGCAGGUUACUGAGCCAUUACUGACGCUGAGGCACGAAAGCGUGGGGAUCAAACAGG